GCCCGAGUGGCGGAACUGGCAGACGCGCACGACUCAAAAUCGUGUUCUUCACGGAGUGAGGGUUCGACUCCCUCCUCGGGCA
rnacentral:tRNA from 1 species